UACGUAGGGGGCAAGCGUUUGUCCGGAAUCAUUGGGCGUAAAGCGCGUGUAGGCGGCUCGGUAAGUCUGCUGUGAAAGUCCAGGGCUCAACCCUGGAAUGCCGGUGGAAACUGUCGAGCUAGAGUCCGGAAGAGGCGAGUGGAAUUCCUGGUGUAGCGGUGAAAUGCGCAGAUAUCAGGAGGAACACCAAUGGCGAAGGCAGCUCGCUGGGACGGUACUGACGCUGAGACGCGAAAGCGUGGGGAGCAAACAGG
rnacentral:rRNA from 1 species